rnacentral:rRNA from 1 species
CCUACGGGAGGCUGCAGUAGGGAAUUUUUCACAAUGGGCGAAACCCUGAUGGAGCAACGCCGCGUGCAGGAUGAAGGCCUUCGGGUUGUAAACUGCUUUUAUAAGCGAGAAAUAUGAUGGUAACUUAUGAAUAAGGAUCGUCUAACUACGUGCCAGCAGCCGCGGUCAUACGUAGGAUCCGAGCAUUAUCCGGAGUGACUGGGUGUAAAGAGUUGCGUAGGUGGCAUAAUAAGUAGCUAGUGAAAUCUGGUGGCUAAACCAUUCAGACUAUUAGCUAAACUGUUAAGCUCGAGACCGUUAGGGGCAUCUGGAAGUUCUAGUGUAGGAGUGAAAUCCGUAGAUAUUAGAAGGAACACCAAUAGCGUAGGCAGGAUGCUGGGACGGUUCUGACACUAAGGCACGAAAGCGUAGGGAGCAAACGGGAUUAGAUACCCGGGUAGUC